AUUUCAUGAUUCUUUGUUUUCCCUUUUCUUGUUUGGCUGAAAUUCUUGGCCAUAUGCUAAAAGUAUUUCUUCCUUGCCUUUUCUUCCAAUUUUCUUUUAACAUUUUGAUACCUUCAUAAUAUAUAGAACUAUAGAUUUCCUUGUUUUGAACUAGGUUGUGUGUACGUACUUGUUAGGCCGUCGAGAUUUCACUGACAAUUCACACGAUUGUUAGGCCUAAGCCCUGACGACUUAGAGAUCUCUCUUUCGAAAAUACAUUCAAACUUCCAUAUAUCACUAGAACACUUAUAACUGUCUAAUAUAAUAACUGCCCAGGAAAAUAGUUAUGUUAUGACAACAUAGAACUGAUAAAAUAAUUCAUCCACACACAUAAUUGCCCCUCUAAACUAACUUCUUUCAGUUACUCAAUUUUUCCUUGUGACAAGCUUUCUAUGGUCGAUGCCUUGUACUGACAUAUCAGAACUUAUUUAAGUUUUGGUGGGGAGGAUAUAACAUUUGCAAUUAGGUUUGAAUAUUCUUUUUUUUUAGUUUUGUUUGAUGUAAAAUCAGUAAAUUCAGUUUGCUGACUUUUUUUGUCUGAAAAAUUAUGGGAAAUCCAGCAACAAAAACCUUAUCUCAUUGGGUAAGAUGACUACAGGAAUCAUGACGUCAUUUGGUUUUGUCAAAAGACAAAAUCCUUGGAUAUAAUCGUUCAUGAUGAGAUUACUCUUACAGCCUUCUCCAUUGUCCUUCUUGAUUUCCUUCUCCCCCUUUUCACAUGACUAAAAUUCAUAAAAAAUACUCUUUUUAUCAUUGAUUCAAAUGGCCUUUUUGUACAUGUCAAAGUACUAGUUUAUUUUCCUAAUUUCUUGACUCAAGUGGUAUCACGCCUAUAUUUCCCUCUUGGUUUCAACCUCUUCCUCCUAAUAUUCUUAUGAUCUCCUUCGGUUCUUGGCAUAUUGCAGUAAUAUCUUGACGUAACGCUCCUGUCUUGGCCUUUAUCCUGUUAAUAGCAAUCUUCACAAUCUCCAACCGACCCUCCCUCACAUUUAAUCUCCCCUUUACUCUUCCCUUCAUAGAUUUCUCGUGCACCCUACUACGGCUUCGACAGGUCGGACCAAUUUGUUAGUUUUUUAACAAAAUAACCUAGUCAAGAACACCCUUACUCACC
rnacentral:lncRNA from 1 species